UACGUAGGGUGCGAGCGUUAAUCGGAAUUACUGGGCGUAAAGAGUGCGUAGGCGGUUCUUUGUGUCCGCUGUGAAAGCCCCGGGCUUAACCUGGGAACUGCAGUCGAUACUGGCGGACUAGAAUGCGGUAGAGGGUGGCGGAACUCCGGGUGUAGCGGUGAAAUGCGUAGAUAUCCGGAAGAACACCGAUGGCGAAGGCAACCACCUGGGCCUGCAUUGACGCUGAGGUACGAAAGCGUGGGGAGCAAACAGG
rnacentral:rRNA from 1 species